GACGAACGCUGGCGGCGUGCCUAACACAUGCAAGUCGAGCGAGAGACUUCGGUCUCUAGCGGCGGACGGGUGAGUAACACGUGGGUAACCUGCCUCAUAGAGGGGGAUAGCCUCCCGAAAGGGAGAUUAAUACCGCAUAACAUCAUGCUAACGCAUGUUAGUAUGAUCAAAGGAGCAAUCCGCUAUGAGAUGGACCCGCGGCGCAUUAGCUAGUUGGUGAGGUAAAGGCUCACCAAGGCGACGAUGCGUAGCCGACCUGAGAGGGUGAUCGGCCACAUUGGAACUGAGACACGGUCCAGACUCCUACGGGAGGCAGCAGUGGGGAAUAUUGCACAAUGGGCGAAAGCCUGAUGCAGCAACGCCGCGUGAGUGAUGGAGGCCUUCGGGUUGUAAAGCUCUGUCUUUUGGGACGAUAAUGACGGUACCAAAGGAGGAAGCCACGGCUAACUACGUGCCAGCAGCCGCGGUAAUACGUAGGUGGCAAGCGUUGUCCGGAUUUACUGGGCGUAAAGGAUGCGUAGGUGGAUAUUUAAGUGGGAUGUGAAAUACCCGGGCUUAACCUGGGUGCUGCAUUCCAAACUGGAUAUCUAGAGUGCAGGAGAGGUAAGUGGAAUUCCUAGUGUAGCGGUGAAAUGCGUAGAGAUUAGGAAGAACACCAGUGGCGAAGGCGACUUACUGGACUGUAACUGACACUGAGGCAUGAAAGCGUGGGGAGCAAACAGGAUUAGAUACCCUGGUAGUCCACGCCGUAAACUAUGGGUACUAGGUGUGGGAGGUAUCGACCCCUUCCGUGCCGCCGUUAACACAAUAAGCACCCCGCCUGGGGAGUACGGUCGCAAGAUUA
rnacentral:rRNA from 1 species